GAUGAACGCUGGCGGCGUGCUUAACACAUGCAAGUCGAACGAACCUUCGGGUUAGUGGCGGGCGGGUGAGUAACGCGUGAGAAUCUGCCCUCAGGAGGGGGACAACAGCUGGAAACGGCUGCUAAUACCCCAUAUGCCGCGAGGUGAAAUGAAUUUCGCCUGAGGAUGAGCUCGCGUCUGAUUAGCUAGUUGGUGUAGGUAAUGGCUCACCAAGGCAUCGAUCAGUAGCUGGUCUGAGAGGAUGAUCAGCCACACUGGGACUGAGACACGGCCCAGACUCCUACGGGAGGCAGCAGUGGGGAAUUUUCCGCAAUGGGCGAAAGCCUGACGGAGCAACGCCGCGUGAGGGAUGAAGGCCUCUGGGCUGUAAACCUCUUUUAUCAAGGAAGAAGAUCUGACGGUACUUGAUGAAUAAGCCACGGCUAAUUCCGUG
rnacentral:rRNA from 1 species